rnacentral:sRNA from 1 species
CCGGGUGUCGCCGAAAUACACACACGCACUGCAACCAUCUCGGUCUGGGUGCCCGCAAGGGUGGGCCGGUGGGGUGCGUGGAGGCUCAAC